CCUACGGGGUGCGGCAGUGAGGAAUAUUGGUCAAUGGACGCGAGUCUGAACCAGCCAAGUAGCGUGCAGGAUGACUGCCCUAUGGGUUGUAAACUUCUUUUAUAUGGGAAUAAAAUCUUCUACGCGUGUGUUUCUGUAUGUACCAUACGAAUAAGGAUCGGCUAACUCCGUGCCAGCAGCCGCGGUAAUACGGAGGAUACGAGCGUUAUCCGGAUUUAUUGGGUUUAAAGGGUGCGUAGGCGGAUUGUUAAGUUAGUUGUGAAAUUCUGCGGCUCAACCGUGGAAUUGCAGUUGAUACUGGCAGUCUAGAGAGCAGUUGAGGUAGGCGGAAUGCGUGGUGUAGCGGUGAAAUGCUUAGAUAUCACGCAGAACUCCGAUUGCGAAGGCAGCACACUGGAGUGCAACUGACACUGAGGCACGAAAGUGUGGGUAUCGAACAGGAUUAGAUACCCGGGUAGUC
rnacentral:rRNA from 1 species